AGGAGCAACCGCUGAAAUCUGCAUGAAUAAAAAAAAUUGCAAUAAAUUCUGACUAUAGCGAUGUGAUUGUUGCAAAUCCUUUCAUUGGGAUAACAAUGUCAUGGAAGCAGCCCUACAGCCUACCCUGACCUUUAUUUUAAUUUUGUUCUUUUUAAGGAGGAUUAUGAUUCCAAAGACGUGGAGAAUCUCAAGUCCCCGGAAGAAAUACAACUGCAGACUUUCACUUUAAGUCUUUGAGAAGGGAAGUGUACGGAGUGUGGAGUUCUUCAUGCUGAUCGCACGCCACAGUGGAGAGCAGUAUCCUGACUUGUGAUGAGCUUCUUCUAGAGUAUAUCAAGGGGUGGUGUGACCUGUCUGUAGGUCAGAUUUUGGUAAAAGAGCAUCCACCAUAGAACUGUGAGCAGCUAACUGGAUAGUGAGCCCAACCUUCGAGACCUCGAGUGGGAUUAAGAAGACUGUUUCUAAGGAAGAACUUCCUUCGCUACUUAGAGCAGAAGCACAGAUGAAACAGAAACACACACCUGGAUUGAGCCCCAAUGAAAAAGACUGGGCUUACACACUUCAAAUGUUUGUUUUAUUUCAUGUGCACACUUUAUUAAAUUAGUUGUUAAUUGCAUUAGUAAAUUGUAUAUUGUAAUCUUGUCCUGCAAUAUUUGUGUUCCUUACAUACAAAUGUAUUCCUGUGUGCGUCUCUUGACUGGUGUUCAGACCUUGGGCUCCAGGAGUCCUAGUCUUCUGAUGUUUGUCCACCUUCAACACUUUAUUUACAGUAACAUGGGUUAACAUAACGUAAUAUGGUAGCUAUGACACACCAAAUGUUAUAAUCUUGUUAACCGUUAACGUUAAAGAUAACUUAUCUUUUUAGUGGCUUUUUCUUUUCAAACUGUUUGAGUGGAAGUUCAAUAGACCUCCGUUCUGUGUCUGCGUUUACUUGAACGUUAGACCCU